rnacentral:lncRNA from 1 species
UUUAGCCUUUAUAGAAUUGCAUAUCCAGGUGUAUGUCAUCAACAUUGCUGAAGGUUGCUAGAGAACAUUCUUUGGUUGUUGCAAUCGUUGGCAAAGGGCAUUUGUCUGGGAUAAAGCAGCACUGGAAGCAGCCUAUUGAGGUUAGAACCAUUUUUGUAAUGGAUAUUCGUGCUGAUUUGUUUGUGAAUUUGAUUCAUAAUAUUGCUAGAAUGGUUGCCACGAGAGAUUCUAGCUUUUCAUGAAAGGUAGGUUGAGUCUGGAGAGCUCUAUCGUUGCUGAACUGUCUCAAGAUAUGUGAAAGCUAUAAUGAGAUCACAUUCUGUGUGUAAUGCAUGUUAGCAGUAUUUUUAGUUUGAUAAUAUUUUUUAUAUUUUAGAAAGCAUUAUGAAAUUACUAAAGUCCUUAAAGAUCGUUACUGAAAACAUAUUAUUGCCAAGUAGUGGUGAUCUUGUAGUUCAAAAGAUACAUUUACUUCAAUUUUCUACUCGGAGAAUCCAUUCUAGGAGGUUGUAUUGGUAACUAGUGUUGGUUUUUUUCAGUUCAGGUUGAUUUUUUCGGAACGUGUGGAAUAGGCAACAAUUGGUUGUCAUCUCUCAUAAAUCAAUAACUUCAUUGUUAGGCAUUGUCUGCAUGCUAUAUCAUUAGGCAUUGUCUGCAUGGUAAUUGAUUCUAUU